AGACCCGAAACCCGGUGAUCUAGCCAUGGGCAGGUUGAAGGUUGGGUAACACUAACUGGAGGACCGAACCGACUAAUGUUGAAAAAUUAGCGGAUGACCUGUGGCUGGGGGUGAAAGGCCAAUCAAACCGGGAGAUAGCUGGUUCUCCCCGAAAGCUAUUUAGGUAGCGCCUCGUGAAUUCAUCUCCGGGGGUAGAGCACUGUUUCGGCUAGGGGGCCAUCCCGGCUUACCAACCCGAUGCAAACUGCGAAUACCGGAGAAUGUUAUCACGGGAGACACACGGCGGGUGCUAACGUCCGUCGUGAAGAGGGAAACAACCCAGACCGCCAGCUAAGGUCCCAAAGUCAUGGUUAAGUGGGAAACGAUGUGGGAAGGCCCAGACAGCCAGGAUGUUGGCUUAGAAGCAGCCAUCAUUUAAAGAAAGCGUAAUAGCUCACUGGUCGAGUCGGCCUGCGCGGAAGAUGUAACGGGGCUAAACCAUGCACCGAAGCUGCGGCAGCGAACGUAUCACCCAAGACAACUUUACGGAGUUGACGAUUGACGGAGCGAAGCGACGUCAAAGCGUUCAUUAAAGUCGAGUUGGCUUAGGGAUACGUUCGUUGGGUAGGGGAGCGUUCUGUAAGCCUGUGAAGGUGUGUCGUGAGGCAUGCUGGAGGUAUCAGAAGUGCGAAUGCUGACAUAAGUAACGAUAAAGCGGGUGAAAAGCCCGCUCGCCGGAAGACCAAGGGUUCCUGUCCAACGUUAAUCGGGGCAGGGUGAGUCGACCCCUAAGGCGAGGCCGAAAGGCGUAGUCGAUGGG
rnacentral:rRNA from 1 species